rnacentral:rRNA from 1 species
AUUGAACGCUGGCGGCAGGCCUAACACAUGCAAGUCGAAAGAAUGGCGGACGGGUGAGUAAUGUAUGGAAAACUGCCUGAUAUAGCGGGAUAACUACUGGACACAGUAGCUAAUACCGCAUACAGUCCGAUCUGCCCAUAUUGGAUUAGCUCAUCGGUGGGGUAACGGCUCACCUAGGCGACGAUCCCUAGCUGGUGUGAGAGGAUGACCAGCCACACUGGAACUGAGACACGGGCCAGACUCCUACGGGAGGCAGCAGUGGGGAAUAUUGCACAAUGGGCGAAAGCCUGAUGCAGCCAUGCCGAGUGUAUGAAGAAGGCCUUCGGGUUGUAAAGUACUGUCAGUAAAGAGGCGUUAUCGGCAGAAGAAGCACCGGCUAACUCCGGGCCAGCAGCCGCGGUAAUAC